GGUGUUAGUUUUUGAUGCAUUUGGAGUCACUUUGUGUUUGUUUCCCCUCCUUCUGUUUUCCCUCUUGCAGUGUGUGUGCAGUGGAGGGCGUGGCUGGCUGAGCUGGAACGAGGAGCACCUGAAUCUCAUCAGGUCAUCACUCAGGCCUUAAAGACAGAUCGGGACUCAACACCUGUGCCAGAUUAUUCCUUUUGCAGUCGCCUGCCGGAGAGCCUCACCUCCUUGCUUUGGAUUUCUGUUUGGCCUUGCUGCUUUUUGAGUUCUCCUGCGCCAGCCCGUCCUCUAUUGCCACCAACUGCCUUAAAACUUUUAUUUUGCUACAAGCUACAUUAAAACGUCUUAAAGACUGA